rnacentral:rRNA from 1 species
CCCUUAGAUGUUCUGGGCCGCACGCGCGCUACACUGAUGCAUUCAACGAGUCUAAAACCUGCUCUGAUAGGGGUGGGUAAUCUUUUGAAUGUGCAUCGUGAUUGGGAUAGAUGAUUGCAAUUUUUCAUCUUCAACGAGGAAUGCCUAGUAAACGCAAGUCAUCAGCUUGCAUUGAUUACGUCCCUGCCCUUUGUACACACCGCCCGUCGCACCUACCGAUUGAAUGGUCCGGUGAAAUCUCCAGACGUGGUUUUACCAUGAAAGCUGAUUGAAUCUUAUCAUUUAGAGGAAGGUGAAGUCGUAACA